GAGUUUGAUCAUGGCUCAGGAUGAACGCUGGCGGCGUGCUUAACACAUGCAAGUCGAACGAAGCGCCUUAUUUGAUUUUCUUCGGAACUGAAGAUUUGGUGACUGAGUGGCGGACGGGUGAGUAACGCGUGGGUAACCUGCCCUGUACAGGGGGAUAACAAUCAGAAAUGACUGCUAAUACCGCAUAAGACCACAGCACCGCAUGGUGCAGGGGUAAAAAACUCCGGUGGUACAGGAUGGACCCGCGUCUGAUUAGCUGGUUGGUGAGGUAACGGCUCACCAAGGCGACGAUCAGUAGCCGGCUUGAGAGAGUGAACGGCCACAUUGGGACUGAGACACGGCCCAAAACUCCUACGGGAGGCAGCAGUGGGGAAUAUUGCACAAUGGGGGAAACCCUGAUGCAGCAACGCCGCGUGAGUGAAGAAGUAUUUCGGUAUGUAAAGCUCUAUCAGCAGGGAAGAAAGUGACGGUACCUGACUAAGAAGCCCCGGCUAACUACGUGGCAGCCGCCGCCGUAAC
rnacentral:rRNA from 1 species